rnacentral:rRNA from 1 species
UACAGAGGUCCCGAGCGUUGUUCGGAUUCACUGGGCGUAAAGAGCUCGUAGGCGGUUUGGCAAGUCGGGUGUGAAAACUCCGGGCUCAACUCGGAGACGCCACUCGAUACUGCCAUGACUCGAGUCCGGUAGGGGAGUGCGGAAUUCCUGGUGUAGCGGUGAAAUGCGCAGAUAUCGGGAGGAACACCAGUGGCGAAGGCGGCUUCCUGGACCUGAUCUGACACUGAGGAGCGAAAGCGUGGGGAGCGAUCCGG